GGCGAACUCAACUCCGUGUCAUGGGACCGUGACGGCACUGGCCGUCCUGGGACGGCGGGGAGACGAGCAAAGCUGCUGCCGUGACAUAAAACAUGUGCACUGAAACACUAACUAGAUAAUGAUCACAGACUCCAGCUGAUGGGAUCACUUUCUCGACAUCUUCCUCUGAAACAAGGCUCUCAUUUACCCCAGAGGCUUGCUGGUCUCUAGCUCACCCAUGUGACAUCUCGAUCCCCCAACCCAGGAAGCACAGCAGGGAUUCCACCGUGGCCACAUGAGCCAGUUUCACCGUGACAAAGUCUGAGGGGUGGAGGGGAGCUUGACUGUAGUGUUACCAUAGAGCACAACAGUGGCCAUAUUUCUGAGACCCUUCAAAAAUAAAAAACUGGUACUGGUAGAAAAACUGCGAUGUCGGUGAGGACCGCAAUCCAUCAUCAGAUGGCGCAAAUCGGUUCCGAUGACCCCGGUGGGAGUGCCGGAGCUGACCGCGAGUUUGUGGGAAGCUGCAGGACCCGAGGUGCAGGGCGACAACCAGGCUGUGAGCCAGGUCAGCCUGCAUUAUUUUUUGUCUGUUCGAUCAUACAUGUGACUCAUCGAAUCUGACAAUACACUCAUCUGGAACACCAGACCAGUAAGGUUCACAGCACAUACUAUUGCAAAAAACAACAUUUCGAUAAUGGGUAAAAUUAUAAGUUGUGCAACCUUAUGUCUAACUGUUUCAUUUUAUACGCAGUCUAUGGUUGGUCUGCUAUAUAUUAGUCAGUUAUAUACACCAUUUCAUAGUGUAGGCUAACACACACAAAUGAUGGACACUCUCAGAAAUUUGCGCAUAAAAUCUUCCAUUACUCAUAUAAAACCAGUUUCUGCAGAUUAAAAAAAAAUUUCACAUGCUCACAUCAUUUCUCAGAUCUUUCCAGUCUAACAAAGAGCUUGGUUUAAGAAUAAAACAGAGCCAACAGAAGCGCAGGUAGUUGCUCAUUACCAUAAAAUAUAUUCAUCCUUAUUCCAGAUAGAAGAAGCACACUGCCAAAACAUUUUAACAUCAGCUGUAUUGGUUCUGUAUAAUACAUUUCAGACUCACAAAGUAAAUCAUUCACUACAAGAUAACUUCAUAUGAUCCAGCUGCACGACUCUCUAACUGCCACCACAAUCAACAUUCAGACAAAUAACACAGACCAACUUCCCUUUUCAUUUUAAGUGCAGUGUGAAAUAAAAGAUACAGGUAGAGGUCAAUGCAAAGGGAAUU